AUUAAAGACUUGUAAAUGCACAACGCUGAGGCAAAGAACCCCAAACCCCAUUUAAAAUCCUUUAAUGCACAGCAAGUCAUUGAUUAUCCCACUUAUUCCAUGGUCAUUUGCCAAGUUAUAGACAAGUUAAAACUAGUUUUGCUCUUUGUAGCUUAAAAUUUGAUAGAAUGGGUAAAAAUAACAGUUAUUUCCAGGAGCUCCUCUUUUUUGUAAACAACUGAUCUGUCUUUUAUAAAUCUGAUAUAAAAGACUCUUCUGAGAUUUGAAGGAUGCACACUACUAUUCGAUAGGUAGGCUACUCAAGUUUAACCAAACUGUUCGUGGACCCCGUUUACUUCCAUAGUAUUACUUUUCCAAUUCCUGCUAUAGAAGUGAAUGGGAUCCAAAGACAUUUAUGCAGGUUUGUAACAACAUGAGGGUGAGUAAAUGAUGACAGAGUUUUCAUUUUUGGGUGAACUAUUUAACCUUUUACAGCUUAGCAGAAAAAUGUUAUGUGACCUUUAAGAAUAGGAUAAAGUACAUCUUUAACAAAAGCAAAGAUUAAAAAACAAAUUGUAGAAUAAAUAGAAAGUGCUACACAAGUGUAAAACAAUACAAAAUCGUCCCACUAUCACAUGCAGAUGUGUCACUUUGCAAUGGGGCAAUGAUGAAUAGUACACAGAACAACCAAAUAAGUUUUUACGAUUUAUAAACAAUUUAAAGAUAUUUUAAAGUGUUAUGUACUGUUCUAAUUCCAGAGAUGUUUAUUUAUGUAAAUGGUGUGAGGCUUUACCAUGUAUAUAAUAGGCCAAUGGCUAUGCUGUGCACGCGAAACAUGUCCUGCCCCUUUAAAUCACGAAGGGAGUUACCAUGGAAACUGAAGGAGCACGAGGACAGCUAGCUCCGUCUCCCGCGGUUUCUUCGCUGUUUUCAAGUAAGUUUAGUCCAUCAAAUCACACAAAUAAUACUAAAACCUGUUGUUGACACGCUUUUGUUAUAUAUUUACCUCAUAUAAAUGGCUUGUGUCUUUGAGAAAAGUUCGUUACCAUCCCAACAUGUUUCCGCACAUGCGGUCGGAACUGUGCUUCCGGUUUCUGUUGGUUUACGUGCUAAACUGAUCUCUUGAAAAAAUAACUCGUCGAAAAUAUUUUUUUUGUUUCCAAUGUAAUAUACGUGUUGUUAAUUUGCUUGUUAUAAGCUAGGACUUUGUUGUUAUUUUUGCUUAGCAGAGUUUAACGGAAGUUACGUGUUUUCCACAAAAGCCUCUUUACUGAGUGACAAAAACCCUCUAUAAUAGAAGAGAAGCUCAAGAUUUCAACAUUUUCUGAAGGGAGUUGCAGACAGAUUUGUCCAUGCUAAUGGCCGAGCAGUAGGGUUGGAACAGACCUGUCAGAAAACAUCUCUGAACCAUAUGACUAAUUUCAAAACAAUUUAUUCUUGAGAGGAGGCACCACAGUUAAAGACAGUGUUUUGAAGAAUUUUGAACUUCCUGCUCACAAACUACAUACUUCUCCAGUUAGUCUGACAGGCUAUCAAUGAGAAUGCGGCAUUACAGGACACCACUGAAAACUAUACCACUAAAAACUGGUUAUUGCUGCAGUCAGAAGAAACAGAUUAACAGCAACUAUCUGCUUGAGACCAAGAGAUUGAGCACUGGGUUAAGACAUGGUUGCAGCUUGCCACAGACAGAGAUGAAGGUCGUUGGGCAAAAGAGAAGAUUUAAAGGCAUAGCUCACCCAAAAAUGGAAACUCAUUUACUUACCAUCAAGAUGUUUCAAACUCUAUCAAAUGUAUUUGUUCAGUUACUGACUGUUAUAAAUUAUACAGGUUUGGAACAACCUUUGGGUGAGCAAAAUUACAGUUUUAAUUUUAAUUAGUGAACUAUCCCUAUUGUGAGUUUUAUAAGUUUAUUAAGAAAUGUUGAGUAUUAUAUCAGAGUUUUGUAUGUAAGGAGAUGGUAGUUGUACGUUUGUGUGUUAAUAUAGAUGGUUUCAGUUGCAACAACAUAAAUCACUUUCAUGGCCCAAACUUAACUUCGGGUAGACCUCCACAUAGAUUCAAUAACAACCGAGUAUCUCUGGAGCAGUUUUUUUUCUGAUAACAAACAAAAUAAAUAACCAGUAAAUAGCCUUAGAUCAAAUCAUAGCUAAAGCAUUUCAACCAUUACAUUGAUCUAAUGUUACUGGGUAAAAUUAAGCUUUACAAUUUUAGCUACAGAUCUUUGAAAAUGUUUGUACGGUAUACUGUCCAUUUCCAGAAAGGUAAUAAAAACAGCGUGCACAGUGACGCUGCUGACGUGUUAUCCUCAGACAUGUUUGUGAAGAUUGUUUUGUUUAUAGCGUGCAUCUCCCUCAGACUGUAAAAAAAGCUUGGGAACAAGAAAAAGCUUGGGCAAACAAGAUAACAUGUCAGCAGCGUCACUCCAGUGUUGUGCACGAGGUUCACAACAGACCUGGAAGAGAAGACAAUGCUGAAUAAAGUCAUAAUUUCUGUUAUUUUUGGACCAAAAUUUAUUUUCGAUGCUUCAACACAUUCUAACUGACCCACUGAUAUCACAUGGACUACUUUGAUGAUGUACAGUAUAUAUUUGAUCGUGUAUACACAUAUCUAAAACAUCUUAAACUGUUUCCGAAGAUGAACGGAGGUGUUACGGGUUUGGAAUGACAUGAGGGUCAUUAAUUACAUAAUUUUCAUUUUGGAUGAAAUAACCCUUUAAGUUUGGCCAGGUGUGUAACUGUGGCAACGCACAUGCAUCUAUGGGUUCCAGUAUAUCUUACUAUAUAACAUAUUAAUUUAACUAACAUGUUUGACAAAUAUAAUUAUGUUUAUUUAUAAAUUAUUAUCUGUAUUGGAUUUUUUAAAUGUUUAAUAAAGAAAUUUUGACUAUA